CUCUUUAUUACAUGUACAAGUGUAACUUAAUUAUGAAUUAAUGAAGGUUGGUAGUUGCAGCUGGUGUAUUGAUUCUGUGGUUAGGAGACAACUGUUGUAGAGAUAGACCUGAUUUCUAUCUCCAGGAUUGCUCCAACAGUGUUGUAAGACUGUGCUGUAGCUAUGGAAGCAUGCAGGCUUAAAGGCUUAAGACUGUUGUAUAGGGGCUGCAUGAUCAUCAAAGUAUCUGAAUGGACUGUAUAGAGAAUGGAACGAAGAUAAUGAGGGUGUGGUUUCAGCAGACGAUAAUGAAUCCAUUCUCAUUCCAUCAUCAAUAGACUCACUAAUCAUUGAGAGCCCAAACUGAUAUCUGUAUUAUAUAUUAUAUUAUUAUUAUUGUUGUUGUUGUUGUUGUUGUUUUGUAUCUUUGUUAGUUGUUAUUUACUGGUUAUUCAUUUUAACAAGUUCUUUGCCUCCUC